rnacentral:lncRNA from 1 species
AUGUCUACAUGGACCAGAAGACAGUUGAUUUGUGGGGAAAAAUUCAGGGCUGCAAUGCCAGAGCUGUUAAACUGCAAGUUGGCCGCAGAGACUGUAACCCAGCAUUGCUGUCAACAGUGCAAAACAGUUGAUGCUGUAGUCCGGUGCCUAGACUGCGUUCCCUCAGGAACUCAGUUUCUCUGUUCAUCGUGUGACUCAAUCAUCCACAGAAAAAAUGUCUUCCAUGACAGAGAAGCCAUGAUUGAUGGCUUUUUAAAACCUAUUCCGCCCACAUCCCUAGUUGUGGUGGAUGAAAGUGGCCAAUAUCAACUUGGUGAACAAGUGUGUCUUCUUCCGAUACCUCCACCAAGACAAAUCUGCUCCUGCGGUCCAAACCAAGACUUCAUCAUUAUCCCAGGAAAGCAGACUGUCUUGGUGACCAUCAACGGUAUGUUAUCACUUCCUUCUACUUUUAUAUCCCACUAGAAGGUGACGUGAGGUCAAACAUGAUAAUGGCUAAUUAUUAUCCUUUUGUCCUGUGUUGUACAGAUACUGAUCAAAUCGUAAAUAUAAUUUUGUUUUCAGGUCCAUACCACCUGUGCCUGCCUGCUGUGUGCUGUCCACUUUGUUCUUGCAAAUGGACCCCAGGGAUUGGUGACCUGCUUGGAUACAGAUACUGGCCAGCGACCACCAGCUGUCAAAUGCUGUUCAAGUUUGAUGUGUUCACAUCAUUUGAGCAGAUGAAGUUGGCCAGCCCAGCUAUAUCCCAACAAGCAUUUCUCAAAAUGCUUGAACAUCGAUCCCUUUGCACAGGACAAGUAAGAACUCUCAUUUCAUUAUAAAAAUAUUUGAAUUCCAAACUUUAAAUUAAUACCAUCCUUCUUUCCAGACAGGUGGUAUUUGUGGUGAUACCUUCCACAGAGUCUUUCGAGAGUUUGCCUUCUGCAAUUUUAAGAAAGAAGAUCUGUGCCCGGUGGAGCCCUUUAAAUGCCCAGCAUGCACACCAGACAUGCUGGCUAUAUCUGCAGAUGGUAAUAGAAAGCAUAGAGGCACAACAACCCGACUACCGAUCACACAUUUCAGCUAUUAUGGCCUUGGAAAGUUGAUAUGGCUAAAGUGUUAUCUAUUUACUACUUUCACAUCCAGCAGAUAUAAGGCAACAUUAGCAUUAAUUUGACUACAUGUUGCUCUUUGAUUGGUUACUGUGAUUGCACUGGUGACUUCCUAGGUCUGGGUUUGUCUCCUUACCAUGAUGCUAUCAUGCACCCCAAAUAUUAAGUGAUUUUCCCAUUACAGGUAUUGGCCGUAUUUGAUGAAGAUGGCAGAGAAGUUGCCUGAGCUCCAACCACUUACAGUGAUGAAGCCAUUUCUCUCUGUAAUGCAUGCCAAGGCUCACACUGGCAAAUGCGAGGUACAGUGCGCAAGUUAAAUGUGUAUGUGUCAUAGGAUGUUUUAGAGGAACAUAUCCCUACAGUCUCUUGCACAGGAAACAUUGCUCUUUUUUAUCACUUCAGGUACAGGUUUCAGAAACGGUUG